AACGCGAAGAACCUUACCUGGGCUUGAACUACUCGUGGUAGGUCUUUGGAAACAGAGGCCGACCCGCAAGGGAGCGAGCAGAGGUGCUGCAUGGUUGUCGUCAGCUCGUGUCGUGAGAUGUUGGGUUAAGUCCCGCAACGAGCGCAACCCCUACUCGAUGUUGCUACUCUCGCAAGAGAGGCACUCUUCGAGAACUGCCUUCGAUAAGAAGGAGGAAGGUGGGGACGACGUCAAAUCCUCAUGGCCCUUAUGUCCAGGGCUACACACGUGCUACAAUGGCCGGUACAACGGGAAGCAAUACCGUAAGGUGGAGCCAAACCCUGAAAGCCGGCCCCAGUUCAGAUUGUGGGCUGCAACUCGCCCACAUGAAGGCGGAAUCGCUAGUAAUCGCGAAUCAGCAGGUCGCGGUGAAUACGUUCCCGGGCCUUGUACACACCGCACGA
rnacentral:rRNA from 1 species